AUUUAGCGAGAAUCUGCCGGAACAGCGUUCUGCCGAGUGUAUAAGGCUGCUCCUACAUUGGAGGUAGAUGGGAUCUGGUCAGCCGACCCGGCUAGACAGACAGACAACAAUCCCGACAGACCCUGCGCUCCUACACUGCAAGUGGUUUUAGGAUGCAGUACAGUUUGAGCUCUCGACGAGAAAAGAAGUUUUUGCCCCAGUUAUGAUUAUCUGAAUUUAAAAAUGGACGAGGAACUUUUUGAUUUUAUAUUAAUGGACCAAAAUUUACUACUCAUUAAACCCAUGAGAAAGUGGGUUCAUGAGUUUAAUGAAGACCACAGGCAAAGCGAAUACUACUUAACCUGCUUACCUAUGCAGGUUAUGCAGGUGGUUAUCCAGACAAAUUUAAAAAAUAUCACAGAAUGACCGUUGAAACGUUUGACUACAUCUUGUCACACACAGAAGUGGAGUAACUUCAGGAAUUGUAUAGAGCCAGCAGAAAAACUUUCGAUUUUGCUGAGGUAUCUAUCAACAGGUCUUUCCUUUGAAGCUCUGAGCGACACAUUUCGCAUGAAUAACUACACCGUGGGUAAAAUCGUUGAAGAAACUGCUGAUGCUAUUUGGAACCAAUUAGCUCCAAUCCAUUUACCGGUUCCAAAUCGAGAAAGAUUUCUUGAAAUUGCUGCAGAAUUUAAUGACAUGUGGAACUUUCCUAACUGUGCCGAUUGCAUAGACGGCAUGUUAAAAUCAAAGCUCCUCGGAAGAGUGGUACCAUGUUUUACAACUAUAAACAUUUUUUCUCUGCUAAUCUUUACGGUGUAGCAGACGCUCGGUGUAAAUUCAUAUUCAUUGACGUUGGAGCCUUCGGAAAGCAAAGUGACGGGGGCGUAUUCGAACGUUGCCAGCUCCUUCACCGAUCGAUGACAGUAACACUCUGGUUUCAUUUGUUCUAGUCGGUGACGAUGCGUACCCUUUAAAGACUUUUUUAAUGAAACCAUUCAGUCAAAUAAAAAUGACCGAAGCACAGCGCGUUUUCAACUAUCGAUUGUCACGGUGCAGAAGGUGUAUAGAAUGCGCAUUUAGAAUUUUAACUGCAAAAUGGAGAUUACUCUACAAAGCCAUUGAAACAGAGGUAGAAAAAGCUGAGAAAAUAAUCAAAUGCAUCUGCCUUCUCUUCUGCAUAAUUUGAUUAUUGACAAAGAGAAUAUUACACUGAAUCAACGAGUGCUUGAAGACGCUCUACAGGAAUACCAACAAAAACAUGAAAGACCAGAUCUUGGCGGACGACGAUUUAACAGAUCCUCUACCGCUGCACAAGAGGUGAGAAAUUUCUACAAAGACUACUUCGAUGGCCUUGGAAGUGUUUCGUGGCAGAAUUAAAUGGUCUUCAACGUUAACAAUAAGAGAUAAACCUUAGAUACAGCGAGGCAGACAGAAUACUGCACUAUGGAAUUAAACAUUAUAUGAUGAAAAUGUUUGUUUUUUUUUACCUACAUUUAGCAUGAUAAAAUUUUGGUCGUUAAUAAUUACGGGGCACCCUGUAUAUACAUAUUUAUUUAUAAAUAAGUUAUAAUAUAUAUAUAUAGUUAUAAUAUAUAUAUUUAUAAUAAUUAUAUCAACUAGUAAUAAUAAACUUAUUACCUUCAA
rnacentral:lncRNA from 1 species